GACGAACGCUGGCGGCGUGCUUAACACAUGCAAGUCGAACGGAAAGGCCCUGCGUUUGUGGGGUGCUCGAGUGGCGAACGGGUGAGUAACACGUGAGUAACCUGCCCUUGACUUUGGGAUAACUUCAGGGAACUGGGGCUAAUACCGGAUAGGAGCUCCUGCUGCAUGGUGGGGGUUGGAAAGUUUCGGCGGUUGGGGAUGGACUCGCGGCUUAUCAGCUUGUUGGUGGGGUAGUGGCUUACCAAGGCUUUGACGGGUAGCCGGCCUGAGAGGGUGACCGGCGACAUUGGGACUGAGAUACGGCCCAGACGCGUACGGGAGGCAGAAGGGGGGAAUAUGGCACAAUGGGCGGAAGUCUGAGGCAGAAACGCCGCGUGCGGGAUGACGGCCUUCGGGUUGUAAACCGCUUUCGCCUGUGACGAAGCGUGCGUGACGGUAAUGGGUAAAGAAGCACCGGCUAACUACGUG
rnacentral:rRNA from 1 species